rnacentral:lncRNA from 1 species
UGAACUUGGACGGUUCUUCUCACAGCUCAACCCAAAUGUGACCUGAUCUAACCCGUGCCCAGGGCUAUACAAAAGUGCCAAACUUGAUACAACUUUUUCUUGAUUUUUCACUCCAUAAAUGCAAAUACCUAGAUGGAGAAACUUGUUGCUAAUCAAGAAUUCAUUGAUUUCAUCAAAUUCUACAGCAACCUGCUUCCGUGAUUCCAUUCUACCCCAACUUCAUGUGUGAAGCGGAAGAACAAAUGGACCUUUGUGAGUUUCUUUUCCCUUUAUGCCUUUUACAGUAGAAGAAUAAAUAGAUGGAUGCCCUUCCAUAAUUUUCUAUUUGUUUUUUGUUUUGCUGAAAAAAGUCCAAGUAAUUUAUGUAUUUGUUUCUUCAUUCGCUCAAUACUCAAUUGAGGAAAGUUUGUACUUUCUCGUAAAUUAUGUAUCCAUUUUGUUUGUUUGAGGCUUUAUAUAUGAUAUAGUUAGGAUUUAGUGUUAGAAAUCAAAGGGGGACCUAUUUGUUGAUUAGGAUUCAAAAUAGCUAGUGAUUUUGGGAUUUUGGCAAAGGAAAAUGGCGCAACGACAAGAGAUCGUACCUUACAUUUGCCACUGUGGGAAUUCAUGUCGAGUGGAGACAUCAUGGACUGAAGUUAACCCAGGAAGGAGGUUUCAAUUCUGAGAAGGGUAAGGAAUUGACAUAUUUGUUGAUUUUUGUUGGUUUUUCAGUUUGAACGUGUGUUUUUCCGAUGUUGAUAUAUAUAUGGGUUGAUUGAUAUAAGGAGGAACAAUGGAUGUGGGCAUUUUGGUUUUUAGUUGGUUGCUGGUUUUUGCUUUGUUUUUGUGGUAGAUCUCAUGUGUUUCAGUGAAAAGAAUGGAAAUGAAAUAUUGGAAGCACAUGUGUUUUGUGGUAUAUCUCAUUUUGUAAUGUUACUUGUUAAAGAAAUGGAAAUAAAACAUUGGAAGCACCCUGGU